rnacentral:rRNA from 1 species
GUGAACGCUGGCGGUAGGCCUAACACAUGCAAGUCGAACGGCAGCACAGUAAGAGCUUGCUCUUACGGGUGGCGAGUGGCGGACGGGUGAGGAAUACAUCGGAAUCUACUUUUUCGUGGGGGAUAACGUAGGGAAACUUACGCUAAUACCGCAUACGACCUACGGGUGAAAGCAGGGGAUCUUCGGACCUUGCGCGAUUGAAUGAGCCGAUGUCGGAUUAGCUAGUUGGCGGGGUAAAGGCCCACCAAGGCGACGAUCCGUAGCUGGUCUGAGAGGAGGAUCAGCCACACUGGAACUGAGACACGGUCCAGACACCUACGGGAGGCAGCAGUGGGGAAUAUUGGACAAUGGGCGCAAGCCUGAUCCAGCCAUACCGCGUGGGUGAAGAAGGCCUGCGGGUGGUAAAGCCCUUUUGUUGGGAAAGAAAAGCAGCAGGUUAAUACCCCGCUGUUCGGACGGUACCCAAAGAAUAAGCACCGGCGAACUGCGU